GUUCUAUCACGUUCAGAAACAACAGUGGUUUAGCUGUGACAUCUUUUUCUUUUUAGGAGGGAAAAAAAAAUGUGAAAGGGAUGUCCCCUAAGGGAAGGGAGAUAUUCUGGUCCACAGACGCGUGCCCAGAACUGGACACAGGCUAUCAUUACCGUCCCCGUUCCUGGGACACCUCUGGAAGGGUGCCUUUUAAGAAUCCCCUCUUUUUUCCUCCCCCAGGCUUUCCUCUCUGAUGGAACAACAACAACAACAACAACAAAACCCUUCUUUUUCCCUGACCCCUAUCCCAUCUCAUCAUCCCCCAUCUUCCUAACUGUAGUUUGCAAGCCUGCUGCAUUUGCGAACCCUUCUCAAAAUUCCAAGAGGAAAGACCAGGGUGAAAGACACUGGCACACAGACUGGGAAAUCUGCACCUUGGCAGAGGUUACAGAGCCAGAGAGCCUCUGAAAAGGGGAAACUCCUGUAGGAAUGCCCACUCUGCAGCAGAAGAGAAAUGUCCUAAAAGCUAAGCUGAGUUACAGAGACACCCUCCCUGGCCACGGAAACCUUUGCUGGGAUCUAUAACUUCAACUCGCUCCAAGUUUCCUCGAUAGAAGUUUCUGGCUGACAGUCCCAACAUGUAACUGAGGCACAGUGAGAAGUUAUUGUUCCGUGUGUACU